AGCUAGUUGGUGGGGUAAUGGCCUACCAAGGCGACGAUGCGUAGCCGAACUGAGAGGUUGAUCGGCCACACUGGGACUGAGACACGGCCCAGACUCCUACGGGAGACAGCAGUUAGGAAUAUUCGUCAAUGGAGGAAACUCUGAACGAGCAAUGCCGCGUGAACGAUGACGGCCCUAUGGGUUGUAAAGUUCUGUUGUUUGGAAAGAACGAUAGAUAGAGGAAAUGCUAUCUAUGUGACGGUACCAUUCAAGAAAGCCACGGCUAACUACGUGCCAGCAGCCGCGGUAAUACGUAGGUGGCGAGCGUUAUCCGGAUUUAUUGGGCGUAAAGGGUGCGCACACGGUUUAUUAAGUCUAAAAUCAAAUCUUGGGGCUCAACCCCAUUCCGUUUUAGAAACUGGUAGACUUGAGUAUGGUAGAGGCAAAUGGAAUUCCUAGUGUAGCGGUGGAAUG
rnacentral:rRNA from 1 species